UACGGAGGGAGCUAGCGUUGUUCGGAAUUACUGGGCGUAAAGCGCGCGUAGGCGGCUUUGUAAGUUAGAGGUGAAAGCCCGGGGCUCAACCCCGGAAUUGCCUUUAAGACUGCAUCGCUUGAAUCCGGGAGAGGUGAGUGGAAUUCCGAGUGUAGAGGUGAAAUUCGUAGAUAUUCGGAAGAACACCAGUGGCGAAGGCGACAUACUGGUCCGUUACUGACGCUGAGGCUCGAAAGCGUGGGGAGCAAACAGG
rnacentral:rRNA from 1 species